GACGGGCUCCUGCUCUUCCUCAAGGGGCUCGUGGUCUAGGACAGGAGGUUGGAACACACAUCCCCGCAGGGGCCAGGAGGGGAAACUCUGCAAGGGCAUUGAGUGGAGGAGACUGCAAGGAGACAGCCACAGCCCUUCCCAGGGUCAGCAGGUAUCACCUUGAUGGAAUUGAGCCCCACCUUGACAGAUCUUCUGAUUUUCCAAGAAGAAUCUGGGAACCUCUUUUUAAACAUGUUUUUAUUAAGAGACAGGGUCUUGCUUGUUGCCGAGGCUGGCCUUGAAUUCCUGGGCUCAAGUGAUCCUCCUGCCUCAGCUUCCCAGGUAGUUGGGACUACAGGUGGAUGCAAUCGCUUCUGGCUUUGGGAAUCCAUUUUUUAAAGUUGAACUCUCCUGAUGAUGAAGUGUCAGCAACUAAUCCCCGAAAUGUGAAAACCCUGUGCUUUUGAUGGGAACGUAAAAUGAUGCAGUUGCUUCGCAAAACAGCUGGCAGUCCAUCAAACGGUCUAACAUAGGGUUACCCUGCAACCCAGCAACUCCACUCCUAGACAUAUAGCCAACAGAACUGAAAACAUCCAGCCAUCCGCACACGAACUUGUAUAGGAAGGUGCGUAGCAGCCCUCAGUCCUACAGACAAAUGAAUACUGACUGGCAACAACCCAAGUGAGUGUGGAGGUGGGUUCUUCCCCGGUCGAGUCCCCAGGUGAGACUGCGUCCUGGCCAACAAACCAAGUGAGUGUGGAGGCGGGUUCCUCCACGGUUGAGCCUCCAUCUGAGACUGCGUCCUAGCCAACACCUUGAUCUGCAGCCUAGUGAGGCCCAGAGCAGAGGGCCCAGUUGAACUGUGUGAUAAUAAACAUGUGUGGCUGUAAGCUGCUAAACAUGUCAUACUUUGUUACACAGCAACAGAGAGCUGAUACAGUCCUUAAAGUUCUAGAACAGUGCCUGGCCUAGGUAUCAGUGUUCCCUGGCACCACUGUCUGCUGAGCUGUGUGUGUCAGAAACAGAGGGAACCAGGUGCCAGUCCCUCCCCUGGCCUAGCUCUUCCCACUACCAUGACUCUUGUUGGGAGUGAAAGGAUUUUACCCCCUUUCUUUGUCAGCAGCUGGCCUGGACUCCCAGGGGAGCCUGGUCAAUAUUAAUGGACACGCAAGGCUGUGGGGCACACAGGGUUUUGUGAUUAUGGAUUAUCUCCUGCUCAGCACCAUCUUGAAGGUGGAGACAAAAGUUCUCAGCCAGGCUGGCCACACUGAGAAGAGGAUGUUUGUGAAAAGACCUGAAGGAAACGAGGACACUAGCCACAGAGAUAGCUGGGGAAGAGUGUUCCUGGAACAAGGAACAGCAAGCGCAAUGGCCCAGAGGCAGCAGCACAUUUGCAAACCUUUUCUUAAAGGGCCAGAUGGUAUUUUUUGGCUUUGUGGGCUGAAUGGUCUCUGUCAAAACCACUCAGCUUUGCCACUGCAGCACCCAAGCAGCCUCAGACAAUACCUAAAUGAACAUGUGUGGCUGUUCCAAUAAAACUUUAUUUACGGACACUAAAAUUUGAAUUUCAUAUAAUUUUUAUCUGUGGUGAAAUACUGUUC
rnacentral:lncRNA from 1 species